rnacentral:rRNA from 1 species
AUUGAACGCUGGCGGCAGGCCUAACACAUGCAAGUCGAGCGGAUGAAGGGAGCUUGCUCCUGGAUUCAGCGGCGGACGGGUGAGUAAUGCCUAGGAAUCUGCCUGGUAGUGGGGGAUAACGUCCGGAAACGGGCGCUAAUACCGCAUACGUCCUGAGGGAGAAAGUGGGGGUUCUUCGGACCUCACGCUAUCAGAUGUGCCUAGGUCGGAGUAGCUAGUUGGUGGGGUAAAGGCCUACCAAGGCGACGAUCCGUAACUGGUCUGAGAGGAGGAUCAGUCACACUGGAACUGAAACACGGACCAGACUCCGACGGGACGCAGCAGGGGGGAAUAUUGGACAAGGGGCGAAAGCCUGAUCCAGCCAUGCCGGGUGUGUGAAGAAGGUCGUCGGAGUGGAAAGCACUUUAAGUUGGGAGGAAGGGCAGUAAGUUAAUACCUUGCUGUUUGGACGUUACCAACAGAAUAAGCACCGGCUAACUUCGUG